CAGUCGCCACGGGAAUACAGAGGGUGCAAGCGUUAAUCGGAAUUACUGGGCGUAAAGCGCGCGUAGGUGGUUCGCCAAGUUGGAUGUGAAAUCCCCGGGCUCAACCUGGGAACUGCAUCCAAAACUGGCGAGCUAGAGUAUGGUAGAGGGUGGUGGAAUUUCCUGUGUAGCGGUGAAAUGCGUAGAUAUAGGAAGGAACAUCAGUGGCGAAGGCGACCACCUGGACUGAUACUGACACUGAGGUGCGAAAGCGUGGGGAGCAAACAGGAUUAGAUACCCGCGUAGUCCCUGUCUCUUAUAC
rnacentral:rRNA from 1 species